CACUAGGGUUGCUUCUAUUUUGAAAAAACCACGUUCUCCCUCUUCCUCUACCUCUCUCUUCCUCUUCCUCUUUCUUUUGUAUCUCUUUCUCUGAUAUUGUUCUCUUCUGAUUUCUGUGCAGAUGAAUAUGAUGUUGAUGGAGACGGUGAACACGUUGCUGAUGAUAUCGUGAUGUUGAUGGUUUGUUUGCUCAAGCUAUGGAAUUUGUGGUCGGAGUUGAAUGUAUACGACGAAGAAGACGCCGAUUCUCCUCAGAUUUUAGAGAUCUGUAACCGUUCAAUCACAGCAAUCCAGAGCGAUUCGUUUUACCGAACCUUUUCAGAUCCCCUUUUCAUAUCGUCACUACUAUCCAUACCGUUGGUAAGAUUUUGUUACUAUACUUUUAUUGAAUGUGUCUGAUUGUAUAGUUAUCGUGAUGUGCGUUAGAUAUGCGGCGUUCAGUUUCACGGUGGCCGAUCUGCGGUGGCAACAACAUGUUUCCGUCAGUGACUGUGGUGGUGGGAUUUAUGGUGCCAUGGCUGUUGCGGGGAGUUUUAUAUGUUCGAUUACCAUAAUUGACUAUGUUGGAGAGGCUUAUGAUCGAACAAUGAAGGAGGCUAUACAGUUCUAAUGCAUAUGACACUAUUCUCCUCGGGAAAUAUUGCAGAGGCUUAUGAUCGAACAAUGAAGGAGGCUAUACAGUUGACAAAAUGAAAGUAGCUUUUAUAGACAAAAACAAUUUUGUAAUUUGUCCAUCCUUCAACGUUUAUUUUGGUAUCGUACGGAACCGAAUUUUAUGCGGCAUACUGCAAGUUUUCAUGUGGAAAGCAGUUGAUUUGGUGCAGGUCUUUCCCAUUGUCCUUAGUUGCACCCAAUGGUGAUAAAUAAACAUGAUUGCACCUACAGGAGUCACAUGUUUUUCCAUAGUGAUGUUGUUACCGACGACAAUGGUUUAUUCGGAAAGGUUAACGAGGUAUCGUCGUGGUGCUUUAGGAGGAAAGAUGAAGAGAGAGAUAAUGGGAUGAGGCAUAGCUUAUCUGGAAUGUUUCCUACUAUUUCUUUGUUUAAGGGGUAUCAAAAUGUAGCUAUGGCCAUAAAUACUCUCAUUCAUUGGCUUU